GGGUGAGUAAUGCGUAGGUAACCUCCCCGCGAGAGGGGGACAACCCCGCGAAAGUGGGGCUAAUACCGCGUAAUGCUUUCUGGACGGAUGUGCGGGAAGUUAAAGGUGCCCCGAUUCCGAAUCGGGGUGCCGCUCGCGGAGGGGCUUACGUCCUAUCAGCUAGUUGGUGAGGUAACGGCCCACCAAGGCGACGACGGGUAACCGGGCUGAGAGGCUGUCCGGUCACACUGGCACUGAGACACUGGCCAGACUCCUACGGGAGGCUGCAGUCGAGAAUCUUCCGCAAUGGGCGAAAGCCUGACGGAGCGACGCCGCGUGGAGGACGAAGGCCUUCGGGUUGUAAACUCCUGUCAGAGGUUAAGAAAGCGAUUCACGUGAUAAGCGUGGACCGUUGACAAAAGCCUUAGAGGAAGCACCGGCUAACUACGUGCCAGCAGCCGCGGUAACACGUAGGGUGCAAACGUUGUUCGGAAUUACUGGGCAUAAAGGGUCUGUAGGCGGCCGGAGAAGUCAGGUGUGAAAUCCCCCGGCUCAACCGGGGAACGGCGCCUGAAACUCUUCGGCUUGAGCAGAGUAGGGGAGAGUGGAAUUCUCGGUGGAGCGGUGAAAUGCGUAGAUACCGAGAGGAACGCCGGUGGCGAAAGCGACUCUCUGGGCUCUUGCUGUCGCUGAGGGACGAAAGCCAGGGGAGCAAACGGGAUUAGAUACCCCGGUAGUCCUGGCCCUAAACGAUGGACACUAAGUAGGGGGGGUUCCGAAACUUUCUCUGCUGUAGCGAAUGCGUUAAGUGUCCCGCCUGGGAAGUACGGUCGCAAGGCUAAAACUCAAAAGAAUUGACGGGGGCUCGCACAAGCGGUGGAGUAUGUGGUUCAAUUCGAAGCAACGCGAAGAACCUUACCAGGGCUUGACAUGUACGAAGUAGGGGCCUGAAAGGGUACCCGACCGGUAUCCAGUCCGGGACGUACACAGGUGUUGCAUGGCUGUCGUCAGCUCGUGUCGUGAGAUGUUGGGUUAAGUCCCCUAACGAGCGAAACCCUUGUCCUUAGUUGCCAUCGGGAAAGCCGGGCACUCUAAGGAGACUGCCGGUGCUAAACCGGAGGAAGGUGGGGACGACGUCAAGUCAUCAUGGCCCUUAUGCCCUGGGCGACACACGUACUACAAUGGCCGGUACAAAGAGAAGCUAAGCCGCGAGGUAGAGCAAAUCUCAAAAAGCUGGCCCCAGUUCGGAUCGAAGGCUGCAACUCGCCUUCGUGAAGUUGGAAUCGCUAGUAAUCGCAGAUCAGCCACGCUGCGGUGAAUGUGUUCCCGAGCCUUGUACACACCGCCCGUCAAGCCACGAGAGCUGGUCGGACCCGAAGUCCGUCACCCAACCCCUCACGGGGAGGAAACGGCCGAAGGUAAGGUCAGUGAUUGGGACUAAGUCGUAACGAGGUA
rnacentral:rRNA from 1 species